AUUCAACUGACGAGUUCCAAAAUGGGACGAAACGCGCAUCCUGGAU
rnacentral:hammerhead_ribozyme from 1 species